rnacentral:rRNA from 1 species
GGGGGUAGAGCACUGUUUCGACUAGGGGGUCAUCCCGACUUACCAACUCGAUGCAAACUACGAAUACCGAAGAAUGUUAUCACGGGAGACACACGGCGGGUGCUAACGUUCGUCGUGAAGAGGGAAACAACCCAGACCGCCAGCUAAGGUCCCAAAGUCAUAGUUAAGUGGGAAACGAAGUGGGAAGGCUCAGACAGCCAGGAUGUUGGCUUAGAAGCAGCCAUCAUUUAAAGAAAGCGUAAUAGCUCACUGGUCGAGUCGGCCUGCGCGGAAGAUGUAACGGGGCUAAACUAUGCACCGAAGCUGCGGCAGCGAACGUAUCACUUAAACUGAUUAAGUGAUACUCAAAUGUAUCAAAACGAUUGACGGAGCGAAGCGACGUCAAUGCGUCCAACAAAGUCGAGGCGGAAACGUCAGGCAGUCAGUUUAAGGAUACGUUCGUUGGGUAGGGGAGCGUUCUGUAAGCCUGUGAAGGUGUGCUGUGAGGCAUGCUGGAGGUAUCAGAAGUGCGAAUGCUGACAUAAGUAACGAUAAUGCGGGUGAAAAACCCGCACGCCGGAAGACCAAGGGUUCCUGUCCAACGUUAAUCGGGGCAGGGUGAGUCGACCCCUAAGGCGAGGCAGAAAUGCGUAGUCGAUGGGAAACGGGUUAAUAUUCCCGUACUGGUGAUAAUUGCGAUGGGGGGACGGAGAAGGCUAGGCUAUCCGGGCGACGGUUGUCCCGGUUUAAGGAUGUAGGC